rnacentral:rRNA from 1 species
CCUACGGGUGGCAGCAGUGAGGAAUAUUGGUCAAUGGACGCAAGUCUGAACCAGCCAUGCCGCGUGCAGGAUGACGGCUCUAUGAGUUGUAAACUGCUUUUGUACGAGGGUAAACCCCGAUACGUGUAUCGGGUUGACAGUAUUGUACGAAUAAGGAACGGCUAACUCCGUUCCAUCAGCCGCGGUAAUACGGAGGAGCCGAGCGUUAUCCGGAUUUAUUGGGGUUAAAGGUUGCGUAGGCGGUUUGGUAAGUUAGAGGUGAAAUGUCGGGGCUGAACCCCGAAACUGCCUGUAAUACUGUUGGACUAGAGAAGAGUUGCGGGAGGCGGAAUGUAUGGGGUAGCGGGGAAAUGCUUAGAGAACAUACAGAACACCGAUUGCGAAGGGAGCUUACCAAACUAGAUCUGACGUUGAGGGACGAAAGCGUGGGUAGCAAACAGGAUUAGAUACCCCUGGUAGUC